UACGGGGGGGGCAAGCGUUGUUCGGAAUUACUGGGCGUAAAGGGCUCGUAGGCGGCCAACUAAGUCGGACGUGAAAUCCCCAGGCUCAACCUGGGAACUGCGUCCGAUACUGGAUGGCUUGAAUUCGGGAGAGGGAUGCAGAAUUCCAGGUGUAGCGGUGAAAUGCGUAGAUAUCGGGAGGAACACCUAUGGCGAAGGCAGCUUGCUAGGACGGUACUGACGCUGAGACGCGAAAGCGUGGGGAGCAAACAGG
rnacentral:rRNA from 1 species